rnacentral:rRNA from 1 species
CCUACGGGAGGCAGCAGUGGGGAAUAUUGGACAAUGGGGGCAACCCUGAUCCAGCCAUGCCGCGUGUGUGAAGAAGGCCCUCGGGUUGUAAAGCACUUUCAGUGAGGAAGAACGCCUGGUGGUUAAUACCCAUCAGGAAAGACAUCACUCACAGAAGAAGCACCGGCUAACUCCGUGCCAGCAGCCGCGGUAAUACGGAGGGUGCGAGCGUUAAUCGGAAUUACUGGGCGUAAAGCGCGCGUAGGUGGCUUGAUAAGCCGGUUGUGAAAGCCCCGGGCUCAACCUGGGAACGGCAUCCGGAACUGUCAAGCUAGAGUGCAGGAGAGGAAGGUAGAAUUCCCGGUGUAGCGGCGAAAUGCGUAGAGAUCGGGAGGAAUACCAGUGGCGAAGGCGGCCUUCUGGACUGACACUGACACUGAGGUGCGAAAGCGUGGGUAGCAAACAGGAUUAGAUACCCUUGUAGUC